rnacentral:rRNA from 1 species
AGGGUGCGUAGGCGGCCUGUUAAGUCAGGGGUGAAAGACGGUAGCUCAACUAUCGCAGUGCCCUUGAUACUGAUGGGCUUGAAUGAACUAGAGGUAGGCGGAAUGAGACAAGUAGCGGUGAAAUGCAUAGAUAUGUCUCAGAACACCGAUUGCGAAGGCAGCUUACUAUGGUUUAAUUGACGCUGAGGCACGAAAGCGUGGGGAUCAAACAGGAUUAGAUACCCUGGUAGUCCACGCCCUAAACGAUGAACACUCGCUGUUGGCGAUACACAGUCAGCGGCUAAGCGAAAGCGUUAAGUGUUCCACCUGGGGAGUACGGUCGCAAGAUUGAAACUCAAAGGAAUUGACGGGGGCCCGCACAAGCGGAGGAGCAUGUGGUUUAAUUCGAUGAUACGCGAGGAACCUUACCCGGGCUUGAAAGUUAGUGAAUCAUUUAGAGAUAAAUGAGUGAGCAAUCACACGAAACUAGGUGCUGCAUGGCUGUCGUCAGCUCGUGCCGUGAGGUGUUGGGUUAAGUCCCGCAACGAGCGCAACCCCUAUGUUUAGUUGCCAGCACGUUAAGGUGGGGACUCUAAACAGACUGCCUGUGCAAACAGAGAGGAAGGAGGGGACGACGUCAAGUCAUCAUGGCCCUUACGUCCGGGGCUACACACGUGCUACAAUGGAUGGUACAGAGGGCAGCUACAUAGCAAUAUGAUGCGAAUCUCACAAAGCCAUUCACAGUUCGGAUUGGGGUCUGCAACUCGACCCCAUGAAGUUGGAUUCGCUAGUAAUCGCGUAUCAGCAAUGACGCGGUGAAUACGUUCCCGGGCCUUGUACACACCGCCCGUCAAGCCAUGGAAGUUGGGGGUACCUAAAGUAUGUAACCGCAAGGAGCGUCCUAGGGUAAAACCGAUAACUGGGGCUAAGUCGUAACAAGGUAACCGUAA